rnacentral:tRNA from 1 species
AGAUGUAUAGCGCAGUGGUAGCGCGCUCGCUUCACACGCGAGAGGUCCACGGUUCGAUCCCGUGUAUAUCUA